CCGGACUCGUCCACCGUGGACGGCGUGGGACCAUAGCCGAGUUGGCCGAAGAUCGUGGAUGGACGUGCGGAGGACCCCCACCACCGGACCAGACCCUUCUUCUUCUCUACCUGCCUCUGGCCUCCUUCCAGGAUUGGGCCGAGACCCUCACCUGAAAUCCAGCGUGGGAAAGGACCCCAGCGCCCCGGACACAGCACCCCGGCACCUUCCAGCCCUGAAUCCCUCCACAGCCGCGGGGACGCCCUGCACACCUUCCCACGGGACAGGCCGGACCACGACUCUGGACCGGGGCCUCCCCUUGAGUAGAGACCCACUCUGUGACUGAUGGACUACACUGACCUGGGGGUCACACACGUGGGCUUGACCCCCACUCACUACCCACGAACCCUGAGACUUGGGGGAACUGCUGAGCUUCCAGUGUCCACGUGUGAAGUGGGCUGGGACCUACCUCACAGGGCUGUUGUGAGGCGCCGCAUGAUGUGGUUCGCGAGCACAGGGCUGGCCACACCCCCGUGCGCUCAAUAAAUGUUUCUUGUCUUCACAAAAGCCGUGGUAGAUGUUCUGCUGAUAUGAGAAGGGGUGACUGUCG
rnacentral:lncRNA from 1 species